rnacentral:pre_miRNA from 1 species
UCUUAUGGAUGAGCAAAGAAAGUGAUUUCUUGAGAUGAAAUCUAUGUUUGAUGAAGAUGCUGUGAA